UUGGAUUAUCAAGAACUCAUGGGGAAAAUCUUGGGGCAUGGAGGGGUAUGCAUAUAUAAAAAGGAACACUGUUUUGCCAUAUGGGAUAUGUGGUAUUAAUUCACUGGCUUCUUAUCCCAUGAAAGAAUCGUCUUCCGCUCCACCAUCCCCUCCAAAACCAAAUAUAUGUGAAGACGGCUUACAUUACUGUCCAGAAGGUCAAACAUGCUGCUGCGGCUUAGAUUUCUUUGGCAAGUGCUUAGUUCAUGGAUGCUGUCCUAUUGAAAAUGGUGUUUGCUGUGAGAAUUCAAGAUUAUGCUGCCCUCAAGACUUCCCAUAUUGUGAUGUUUUACAAGGCCUCUGCCACAAGGAUUAUGGAGACAAAAUUGGAGUUGCUGCAAGGAAGAGAACAAUGGCCAAGCUCAAGCUAACAUGGAGCAGUGCUACUAAGGAAAUAGAUGAAAUGGACCAAACUUUCCAAUGGAACAGGAGGAAUCAGUUUGCUGUGAUGCGCUGAAACAACUUAUCUAAGUUAUUAUAGCUUUUAUCAUCCCAACUGGCACUCUGGUUCUUGUUGGUCAAGUAAAUGUUGUAGAAAAAUAUGUAAAAGAAAAAAUGUACAAAAA
rnacentral:misc_RNA from 1 species